rnacentral:lncRNA from 1 species
GUAUAAGUCUUUUGUGUAAACCAUUUUUAUUUAACUAAUCAAAACAAGGUCGGCCGAACAUAAUAUGAGGCCUAAAGCGAGAUAUGAUCAACAAAAUUAUGAAAUUUUGAUUGAUUGAUUUACUUUGGUAAAUUAAAUUAAUGUUUAACUAAGGUACUAAGUUCGAAUUCAGCCUUAUAAAUGCAACAUCGUUAAAACUUUUGGGGAGAAUUUGUCGUUCAUUUGAGUUCCAUAAAACUCGAGAGAUUAGUUUUUGCAAGUUGCAAGCGGAGGAUACCAGAUUUUAAAAAAAAAAUAUAUUAAUGUUGGUUGAUUUCAUUACAAUGAUUUUAUUGUAUUUGUAUAAAAUAAUGUUCAUACUUUUUUUUUUUUUUUGAAGGAAAAAUAAUGUUCAUCCUUAGAGGCAUGAGAUUAUAUACCAAAAAAUACUAAGGGUUUUAUUUCUUCUUCUUUUUUUGUGACCAAAAUUUGAAGAGUUUGUACAUGUACUACAAAAUAAUAGUCAGAAAUCAUACAGAAUCUUGUUUCACAAAUUAGUCCACAUUUACCUCAUGACUGUUACAGUGCAGUUUCCUUUUUUUACCUUUAAAAUCUUUUCCUUUUUGGGGUUCUGCGUUAUACUUUAAUUAUUAUCAAUGUACACAAAUAAUAUUAUAAUUUUUUUUAUUACAAAAUAGAACGUCCAAAAAACGUUUCUCAUUAUUAUUUUUCAUUGUUCAUGAUACAUGUACGAGUCAGUGUGAAUGGUGUGGGAACAGUUUGGUCCUAUACCCUUCGUAAGAUUGACCAGGACAUUGUCUGGUUGACCAAGUUCUUGGAUAUAUUUCUAUAAUAUUAUAGAUUUAUAGGCUUUUAUUACAUACAUCAACUAAGCCAUUUAUUUAGACCAAGAGUGUAGUGAGGAUAAAACUUUGUUGGAUGAUGUUAAUAUAUGUGCCCUACACAUAUUGUUACAGCUAAUAUGUGUCUUUAAGAUAAAUGAUAACAUUUCUUAACUUUUUAAGCGAUAUAUUACAUAAAAUGUUAACAAGUGUUUUUAGGGCAUUAUUUAAACAAUUAAAAAAAAUUAAUUUUUGCAGGUGUGUUUAUUACUUUGAUUUAUACUUUUCAUAUAAGGGAUAUGGUGUUUUCUCUUGAAGUUCUUUUAGCAAUGAUAAUUUUGUUAUACACAUUAUUCUUAAUUAUAUACCUAAGCAGUGUAUACAAAUAAUAUGGUUGUGACUAAGAGUCUACAUUUCUCUAUAAAUAUAUUUCUAAAUUCUCUUUAAAUUUGAAGAGGAUGUCCUGAUUUUCAUGAACUACAAGACUAACUAAUUAUAAAAUUUUGAUCAUAAAAAAAUGUCCACUCAAUGCUCUGCCGUAUAAGUUAAAUAAAUUUUUAGUUUAUAGUACAUCCCUUGACCAUUUACUAUUAUUAUGAUAUAUAUGACUCACAUGUGCUACACGACCUACCCAUAAUAUUAUGUUAAUUUCUUAGCUUCUUCCUAUACUAUCCCUUCCAAAUUUAAACUUGGUUUGAUCUUCCUAUAUAUAUAUUAAAUUAGUUUGAACUAUAUAGUUGCUUUA